UACGAGAGGCCCAAACGUUAUUCGGAAUUACUGGGCUUAAAGAGUUCGUAGGCGGCGCAGAAAGUGGGGUGUGAAAGCCCUCGGCUCAACCGAGGAAUUGCGCUCUAAACUACUGUGCUUGAGGAAGCUAGAGGUGAGCGGAACUGAUGGUGGAGCGGUGAAAUGCGUUGAUAUCAUCAGGAACACCGGAGGCGAAGGCGGCUCACUGGGGCUUUUCUGACGCUGAGGAACGAAAGCCAGGGGAGCGAACGGG
rnacentral:rRNA from 1 species